rnacentral:lncRNA from 1 species
GGCUCCAGCCGGGGACAAGUCCGCAGCUGCUGUUUUGUUUUUGUUUUUCAACAGCAGCACAUAGUUAAAAAAAAAAAAAAAGCAAAAAAAAAAAAAGGAGAAAGGAAAAAAAAAUCACAGCUAAAUCACCUCAAAGGGAGGGGGGCAAAGUGUCUUUUGGGGAGGAGAAUGCCGCUUUUAAAGAGGGCAAGGCGAGAAAUCAGGAGACAUAGUCGCUUGGGUGACUGUCCUUGUGCCUUGCGUGUUUAAAAAGCCGCUCCUGGAAGUCGGUUUCAGAGGCGAGAGGAGCGAGCAGGGUCUCGGCUCGCGCCCGAGCUCUGCCGCUUAACUCGAAAUAGACACUGCAGCCCUCGGUCCCGGGAACCGCUCCCCAGCCCCCAGCUCUUUGUUGCAAAUGCGGACGCUUCUCCUAGGAGACUUUUCCCCUCUUCUUCUGCUUCUUCCCCGCCCCUAUCUCCCUUCCUCUCCCUCUUUCUCGCAGGAGGCGUCUGCAGUUGCGCUAGACUCGGCUUUCACAGCGAGCGAGCGAGGGAGCGAGCGGAAAAAGUCUCUCUCCUUGAAAAAAAAAAAAUCUCUGAUUGAAGCCCUGUGCUACCAGCGCUAUCAAAACUUGAACUGCGAACUGGCUUCCGUUCGCCCUCCUCCUCCUUCCUCCGCUCCGAGCCUCCGGAGGGUGUCUGCGUUUCAAUCCGAAUCUUGCCUGCUCUUCUCCCGCGCCUGUCUUCCUUGUCCUAAAACUUCUCCAGGUAGCUGCCUACAUCUCGCGGCUUGGAGCUGCGUAGACGUCCAUCUGCCCCCAACCGCCAGGAUCCGAGCUGCAGAGGCAAACUCCAUUCGAUCGCACGCCCUCCCUGCUCCGCUGACCGCCCAGCCCCUCCCCAAGCCGCAUCCAUGAGGUCCUGGUAGAGACUCCAGCGGACGAUUGGGCUGCCUCUGACACAUUCCUGGGAAGACAGAAGAAAGGAAGGAGAGGGAAGGCGAUGGAGGAGUGGCAGAAGAAGACCGAAGAGUACAACUUACCUUUAUGAAUCAUGAAUGUGGUCUUACAGCGAGGGAAACUGAGGCCCAGAGAGGAAAAGUAAUAGUCCAAGGUCACAAAGAAAAAAUCCUCACGUCUGCAUGUCUUAGUUCAUCAGUGGCUCUUCUUGUCUUGGCAUCACUUGGCAAGUCACUCUGGCCCUCUGGGCCUCAGUUUCCUUAUCUGUAAAAUGGGGCUAAUUAUAUCAACCUCCCACAGUUUUUCAACAGGAGACAGAAGAUGACUCAGGAGAGAGACUUCAUUCUAAUGCUUGGCACAGAGCUGGUGCCCAAUAAAUAUUAGAUUUCUUCAUUCCUCCUCGGCCUA